UGCAAGUCGAGCGGUGAAGCCCUUCGGGGUGGAUCAGCGGCGAACGGGUGAGUAACACGUGGAUAAUCUGCCCUGCACUCUGGGAUAAGCCCGGGAAACUGGGUCUAAUACCGGAUAACACCUUCCUCCGCAUGGUGGGGGGUUGAAAGUUCCGGCGGUGCAGGAUGAAUCCGCGGCCUAUCAGCUUGUUGGUGGGGUAGUGGCCUACCAAGGCGACGACGGGUAGCCGGCCUGAGAGGGCGACCGGCCACACUGGGACUGAGACACGGCCCAGACUCCUACGGGAGGCAGCAGUGGGGAAUAUUGCGCAAUGGGCGAAAGCCUGACGCAGCGACGCCGCGUGAGGGAUGACGGCCUUCGGGUUGUAAACCUCUUUCAGCAGGGAAGAAGCGCAAGUGACGGUACCUGCAGAAGAAGCACCGGCUAACUACGUGCCAGCAGCCGCGGUAAUACGUAGGGUGCGAGCGUUGUCCGGAAUUAUUGGGCGUAAAGAGCUCGUAUGCGGCCUGUCACGUCGGAUGUGAAAACCCGGGGCUCAACCCCGGGCCUGCAUUCGAUACGGGCAGGCUAGAGUUCGGCAGGGGAGACUGGAAUUCCUGGUGUAGCGGUG
rnacentral:rRNA from 1 species